CCAAUAGCGUAUAUUAAAGUUGUUGCAGUUAAAAAGCUCGUAGUUGAAUUUCGGGAUUAGUACGUUGGUCGUGCCUUGGUACGUACUGGUGUAACUGAUUCCUCCCUUCUGACGAACCGUUAUGCCAUUAAUUUGGUGUGGCGGGAAAUCAGGACUGUUACUUUGAAAAAAUUAGAGUGUUUAAAGCAGGCUCGCGCUUGAAUACAUUAGCAUGGAAUAAUGAAAUAGGACGUUAAUCCUAUUUUGUUGGUUUCUAGGAUCGACGUAAUGAUUAAUAGGGAUAGUUGGGGGCAUUAGUAUUCAAUUGUCAGAGGUGAAAUUCUUGGAUUUAUUGAAGACUAACUACUGCGAAAGCAUUUGCCAAGGAUGUUUUCAUUAAUCAAGAACGAAAGUUAGGAGAUCGAAGACGAUCAGAUACCGUCGUAGUCUUAACCAUAAACUAUGCCGACUAGGGAUCGGAUGAUGUUAAUUUUUUAAUGACUCAUUCGGCGCCUUACG
rnacentral:misc_RNA from 1 species